UUAAUGAUUGGGCCUGGAAGUCGGCCCACUGCCGAUUGGACCCAAACUACAAAAACACCACACGGCAUCGUUUUGAUUCCCGCUUGAACUGCUUCGUUCUCCUGGUACAAUUAAAGCGUCUCUUAUCAGUCUGGUCGUAAGAACACCAUUUUUAGCAAUAAAUCCAAAAUCUGCAGAGAGAGAACAAGUUUCCAAGUGGACUCGUUCUUCACCGAUUUCCAACGAAAUUUGCUAUUCGGGAACAUUCUUGUUGCGACCUUUAAUGAGGAGAUACUGAUGUUGCAGAAAACAUUUUGAGCAAUGGGGAAGAGGAAGUCAUCGGCAAAACCGCCUCCUAAGAAGCGUUGAAUGCCGCAUGUGAGUGCCUCUGUUUGAUUUCGUGUCUGGUAUUUUGAGUUCUCUUAACCAUCUGAAGAGGAAUCCAUAACCCGGAACUAGUUCUAGGAGACCUUACUGAAUGUUAGGUUCUGCAGUUUUUUUAGUCUUGUAACUUGCUUUUAUCGUUUAUCUUCGCUUCACCGACAUGAAGAACUCGAUUGGGGAAGCUUCUUGUAGAAUAUGCCAAGAAAGCUUCAGCACCACCAUCACAGGUCUGUGCAAAACUUGGUCCCUUGAUUUGAAACUUAUAUCCCCUUUCGUUCGAGACUUGGGAGUUGAAUUUUAACUGGAUGACAUUUGUCAGUGGAGAUUCGGGUUAGCAAGAAAAAAAAUAUUAACGUAGGAACGAAGUUACAGGAUGGUUUGGCCGCCUUUGACCGCUGAUUCGCUUGUGAUGGCCUUCAACUCUUCAUCUGCCCUCGAAAUUAGGUUGUUAUGAAAAUGUCAUUUCUCAGGAAUUUAUGCGUUUCUUUUAUUGCUUUCAUCUAAUUCCGAUUUCCUCUCUGUUUGCAGCUUUAUGUGAACCGAUAGACGUAUAAGUAAAUUAUUUCCCUCUAUUUCUCUUUUUUCUCCGAACCCUAUGUCUAUCACCAAAGGGUAAUCCCCUGGUCACAUGCGCGCGCACGCAUUUAUGUGAGAGUUGCAACUCCGCAGCUACUUUUAUUCAUGACGAAAGUUGUAACUUUGCAGCUACAGCGAAUGGACUGAUGAAUGCGAGCGAGUUAACAACGUCGAAGAUGAUGGCGAUGCUUAGGAGGAAGACCUGAUGCCUAGAAAUCAAUAGUAGUUCUGAGUAGUUCCAAAUAAUUACCAAACCAUGCUUGUUAAGCAAGUUUUAAAGAUUUCAACGAAGACGUGAUGUGAACAUCUGACUUUGUAACUUUUAUGUGUUAGUUAUUUAUGCACUUAGGAUGGUCACCCACGAGGAAAGUGAUUUUACACGCUCGGGCAACUGUCACGAAGCAUGUCCCGUGGACCCGACCUGGUUAGGCAGUCUUGUCGAAGUUUCUCUUAUCUGAUGGAUGAACCGUUAAUGCUGUGGAUAUAAAGUAAAGAGAAAUAUUAUAUGGAA